rnacentral:rRNA from 1 species
UACGUAGGGGGCUAGCGUUGUCCGGAAUCAUUGGGCGUAAAGCGCGUGUAGGCGGCCCGGUAAGUCCGCUGUGAAAGUCCAGGGCUCAACCCUGGAAUGCCGGUGGAUACUGUCGGGCUCGAAUCCGGAAGAGGUGAGUGGAAUUCCUGGUGUAGCGGUGAAAUGCGCAGAGUAUCAGGAGGAACACCAAUUGCGAAGGCAGCUCGCUGGGACGUUACUGACGCUGAGACGCGAAAGCGUGGGGAGCAAACAGG